rfam:Glycine soja cultivar W05 scaffold5853_1, whole genome shotgun sequence.
GUAACUCUUUUAGAGUUACUCCUCAUCCUCACCAUUCAUUUUCUUAAGAUGUAAUGGUUAAAAUUAGUUACUUAUUACAACCAUUAGAUUUUAAGAAAAUGAAUGAUGAGGAUGGGGAGUAACUCUAAAAAAGUUAC